GUCAGCUCAGGCUCCAAAUAUGUAACAGUGAGUUUCUAAGUGAGUCACACGGACGCGGUUGGUUUCCAGUGAGGCAUAACUCAUCGCUUCACUCUUCUCAACGGUUCCCUCUUCGGAAGGAAGCGCAGUCCGCAGCGUCGUCCGAGGGCGUGAUCGCCUGCGUCGCACCCGCGUCUCCAGUGGCCACCCCUUGUCCUACAGGAACGCGCAUCUGCUUAGCAGGCGCUGAGCCCUUGAGGAGGCCUAAAAUGAAUGAACGCGGCUGUGCCUCCUGAGCAGGCUCACAGUUGUGGGUGGGGGACAGAAGGGUGUCCAUGCCUAAGGUCGACGGCGAUAAGACAGACGUUCUUCCCAGGAGGAGAUCAGUUCCAGGUGGAGAGGUAUGAAGAACGAGGAACACUGCCCGGGGAGUUUCUUCCUCUGCAAAAUAAGGGAGUGUGUACUGAAUUACCGUUUCCAGCUCCAACAUCCAGGAUUUCAGCACUACCUGCAGAGUAGUGGGAGGAGAGAUAGCUCCUGAGGUUGACCAGAUGCCCCUAGCAGCUCUGGGCUGCACCUUUGUGUCCAAGUCUUGGUUCCAGGAAGAACUCUGAGCAGAUUGCUCCUGUUGGCUGGUGCAGUUGGCUGGUGUUCCUGUUGGCAGGUGGCAUAGCACAAGAUUGGGCUGCCAGAAUGAGGAAGAAGUGAAGAUAAGAAACCACUCGAAGCCGGUGUCUGGUGCUGGGACCGUGGUGGCUGGGACGGCAGCAGUCGUGCUGUCCAUCUGCUCUUCCGAGGGGUGGCACAUCCUAGCCUCUAUCUUUUCCCCAGAGAAGAUCCCCCUCGUCUGCUCUUCCCCCGUCUCAGCCUUUUAGUGUGUGAACAGUUCUGGUGUUACUCAGCAACGCUUUUGUUAGCGCCUUUACCAGCAAGUACUUGUUAAACACUUAAAUCUUACAAGUGGAAAGAAAAUUCCGUGGUAAAUUUAAGUACAAAAGUCAACCAAAAUUCUGAGUCUCGGACAAGACUGGUUAAAAAUCGUUCUACAAUGAAACUAAUAAAUUAAAUCAUAUAAAACUU
rnacentral:lncRNA from 1 species